rnacentral:rRNA from 1 species
GAUCAUGGCUCAGGAGUGAACGCUAGCUACAGGCUUAACACAUGCAAGUCGAGGGGUAGCAGGGUAGCAAUACCGCUGACGACCGGCGCACGGGUGAGUAACACGUAUCCAACCUUCCCAUAACUCAGGGAUAGCCUUUCGAAAGAAAGAUUAAUACCUGAUAGUACUUUUUCAAGGCAUCUUGAGAAAGUUAAAGAUUUAUUGGUUAUGGAUGGGGAUGCGUUCCAUUAGAUAGUUGGUGAGGUAACGGCUCACCAAGUCUUCGAUGGAUAGGGGUUCUGAGAGGAAGGUCCCCCACAUUGGUACUGAGACACGGACCAAACUCCUACGGGAGGCAGCAGUGAGGAAUAUUGGUCAAUGGGCGAGAGCCUGAACCAGCCAAGUAGCGUGAAGGAAUGAAGGUCCUAUGGAUUGUAAACUUCUUUUAUAGUAGAAUAAAGUGAUCCACGUGUGGAUUUUUGUAUGUAUACUAUGAAUAAGGAUCGGCUAACUCCGUGCCAGCCGCGGC